CUAGAAUGUUCAGUAAACAAUAAAUUGGUAAAAAUACAGCAAAACUAAAAUUUAAUGAACGGUUUGGGGAAAUACAUUGAUACUUCUUGGCCUGUUCAUUAACGAGCGUGUUGUGGCAAUUUAGGAGAUUUUUUUUAAAUGAUCCACAUAAUAACAGGAAGGACACCAUACUGCUGUCAAACAAUUUGACUCCGUGCCAGGCAGAAUUUAGGAUUCCUAAACAUAGUUAUGGAGAUUUGUAGCACUGUAUGGGCGCUGGAUACGCAAGGACUGUGUAUCUUCACAUUUACUGUAACAAAACUAUCUCCACCCCUUCUGAUGUCUGUAGCAUGGAGGAAUGAUGGUGGACUACACCUCCUGGGUGAAGCUAUCUACUUCCAGAAUACACUUUGGAAAAUCCAUAGAGGUCCCACCACCAGAGAUAAAGCUCUAUAUGGGUUUUUUUGUUGGGAGUUAGGUCACCCUAUCAGGAAUAGCAAGACCUCUGUCUCUCCAUGUCACAGGCAGUAAAAUGAUAAACUGGUGAAGAACGUCAUCAGGCCUAAAAUACUGGGUCAUAUAUUACGAUCUCCACUUUAAUCAGAUUAUCUGAUUUGUUCAUGGGAAAUGUAUCACUUAUUAAACAUACACAUCUGAACAAUGUUAUUUUGUAUUUGUGUGAAAGUGUUGAGCAUCGAGUCGAUCAAUAUCUCAUACUUACUCCUACUGUGAUAACAUAGACCAAUAUGGUCCAAAAUCAGCUAUUUCAUAGAAAUGAUAAAACUAUUGGAUGAGGCCCUUAAAUACGGACCUGGCUCCAAUAAGCAAAGAGCAGACUAAGAAGCGGAAAUCCUGCUUAAUAUCUGGAAUGCCAGCUGUUGGGAGUCCAGUUCCUAUUCUGCGUUACAGUUUGCCAAUCUCUUCAUUUAUUCCGUACAUCAGGCACUUCUUUACAAGCUUUGGCAAAUGACUGGUUUCAUUGAAACCAAGAUAUUCAGAAAAAAUAAACAGUUGGUACAGCCGAGCUGGAUUUUGGCAGUCGGUGUGAUUGUAGCUUAUUACUGAGAGUUUUGCGAGUGUC